rnacentral:rRNA from 1 species
GCUUGUUGGUGAGGUAACGGCUCACCAAGGCGACGACGGGUAGCCGGCCUGAGAGGGCGACCGGCCACACUGGGACUGAGACACGGCCCAGACUCCUACGGGAGGCAGCAGUGGGGAAUAUUGCACAAUGGGCGAAAGCCUGAUGCAGCGACGCCGCGUGAGGGAUGACGGCCUUCGGGUUGUAAACCUCUUUCAGCAGGGAAGAAGCGAAAGUGACGGUACCUGCAGAAGAAGCGCCGGCUAACUACGUGCCAGCAGCCGCGGUAAUACGUAGGGCGCAAGCGUUGUCCGGAAUUAUUGGGCGUAAAGAGCUCGUAGGCGGCUUGUCACGUCGGUUGUGAAAGCCCGGGGCUUAACCCCGGGUCUGCAGUCGAUACGGGCAGGCUAGAGUUCGGUAGGGGAGAUCGGAAUUCCUGGUGUAGCGGUGAAAUGCGCAGAUAUCAGGAGGAACACCGGUGGCGAAGGCGGAUCUCUGGGCCGAUACUGACGCUGAGGAGCGAAAGCGUGGGGAGCGAACAGGAUUAGAUACCCUGGUAGUCCACGCCGUAAACGGUGGGCACUAGGUGUGGGCAACAUCCACG